rfam:Triticum aestivum genome assembly, contig: Triticum_aestivum_CS42_TGACv1_scaffold_271648_3DS
AUACUACUCCAUCCGUUCGGAAAUACUUGUCAUCAAAAUGAAUAAAAUGAGAUGUAUUUAGACGUAAUUUAGUUCUAGAUACACCCCUUUUUAUUUAUUUUAAUGAUAAGUAUUUUUAGACGGAGGGAGUACAAG